CAGCCGCCGCGGUAAUACGAAGGGUGCAAGCGUUAAUCAGAAUUACUGGGCGUAAAGCGUGCGUAGGCGGUGAGUUAAGUCUGCUGUGAAAUCCCCGGGCUCAACCUGGGAAUGGCAGUGGAUACUGGCUCGCUAGAGUGUGUCAGAGGAUGGUGGAAUUCCCGGUGUAGCGGUGAAAUGCGUAGAGAUCGGGAGGAACAUCAGUGGCGAAGGCGGCCAUCUGGGACAACACUGACGCUGAGGCACGAAAGCGUGGGGAGCAAACAGGAUUAGAUACCCGCGUAGUCCCUGUCUCUUAUAC
rnacentral:rRNA from 1 species